AUGUAUGCUGUCUUUUCGAAUGUGUUCUCUAAUUGUGCAAUAUAUGACCUGCUGCAAUUUUAUUUACUCAUUGCAGGCAAGUCCACACUUAUAGAUUCUCUUGUCAUAGCUGCUGGGAUUAUUAGACAGGAGGCUGGUGAUGUUCCCAUGACUGAUACUCGUGUAGAUGAAGCAGAGCGUCGUAUUUCCAUCAAAGCCACCGGAAUCUCUCUUUUGUAUGAAAUGAAUGACGAGUCACUCAAGGCUCACAAGGGUGAGAGAGAUGGGAACAAAUACUUGAUUAACCUUAUUGAUUCACCUGGGCACGUUGAUUUUUCUUCUGAAGUCACAGCUGCUCUUCGUAUUUCUGAUGGUGCUCUGGUGGUAAUUGAUUCUAUCGAGGGUGUCUGUGCAAACUGA
rnacentral:rRNA from 1 species